UACUUAUAAAGUGACCUGUUUUGUUGUUGUCGGGUGGAUCACGAUGCAAUUUUGAUUAGUAAGGUAGGAGAAAAAUUGCACGGUAUCCAUCUGGAAACCGCAAGACCUUCUUAUACCACUUGUCU
rnacentral:pre_miRNA from 15 species